UACGUAGGGGGCAAGCGUUGUCCGGAAUCAUUGGGCGUAAAGAGCGUGUAGGCGGCCCGAUAAGUCCGCUGUGAAAGUCGGGGGCUCAACCCUCGAAUGCCGGCGGAUACUGUCGGGCUAGAGUCCGGAAGAGGCGAGUGGAAUUCCUGGUGUAGCGGUGAAAUGCGCAGAUAUCAGGAGGAACACCAACGGCGAAGGCAGCUCGCUGGGACGGUACUGACGCUGAGACGCGAAAGCGUGGGGAGCAAACAGG
rnacentral:rRNA from 1 species